ensembl:lncRNA
UAAAUAUAGAAGAAAUGCUCGGUUGUGUCUCACUCUUUGUGACCCCCUCCAACUGCAGCCCCCAGGCUCCUCUGUCCAUGAGAUUUCUCAGACAAGAAUACUGGAGUUGGUUGCCAUUUCUUCCUCUUCCAGCGGAUCUUCCCAAUCCAGGAAUUGAACCCACAUCUCUUGCAUCUCCUGCAAUUGUGGCAUUUUUACCACUAAGCCACCUGGGAAACCUGUAGAAGAACAGACUACUGAUUUGAUAAUUUUCUUUUAUAACAUAGGUGACCUAGUCCAGUGCCAAGAGAGAACCUGGCCAGAGAUUUUUCCCAAGGAGGAAAGGAAGAACAGUUGAGUGAGCGCCCAGUUUUCCCAGCAGAGUGAGUGGAAUGCUGCCACAGAGAGCCAUUUCUCUCUCCAUCCAAAGCACCGAGUGUGAGCUACAGCAGUUGCAGACAAAAAGAGGCUGGGAGAAUGACAGGUAGGACUCUCAGAGAGCAUGAAAGGGACAUGGGUCCCACCACGAACUUUGUGAGGAAGCUACCCGUGAGCCAC